GUGAGGGGGUUACUAGUGACAGAGUGAGGGAAGGGGUGACUAGUGGCAGAGUGAGGGAAGGAAGGGGUGACCAGUGACAGAGUGAGGGAGGUGGUGACUGUUACUAGUCACCACCUCCCUCACUCUGUCACUAGUCACCACCUCCCUCUGUCACUACUCCCUCCCUUCUUCUGUCACUAGUCACCCCCUCCCUCACUCUGUCACCAGUCAUCCCCUUCCCUCACUCUGUCACCCCCUCACUCUGUCACUAGUCACCCCCUCAC